AGUAACACGUGAGCAACCUACCUUCGAGUUCGGGAUAGCCCUGGGAAACCAGGAUUAAUACCGGAUGUGGUCACAGAGGGACAUCCCACUGUGAAAAAAGGCGCAAGCCGCUCGAUGACGGGCUCGCGGCCUAUUAGCUUGUUGGUGGGGUAACGGCCUACCAAGGCGACGAUGGGUAGCUGGUCUGAGAGGACGAUCAGCCACACUGGGACUGAGACACGGCCCAG
rnacentral:rRNA from 1 species